GGACUACACGGGUAUCUAAUCCUGUUUGAUCCCCAUGCUUUCGUGCCUCAGCGUCAGUAAGAGUUUAGCGAGCUGCCUACGCAAUCGGUGUUCUGUGUCAUAUCUAAGCAUUUCACCGCUACACGACACAUUCCGCCCGCCUCAAAUCUACUCAAGCUCAUCAGUAUCAAUGGCAAUUUCCACGUUAAGCAUGGAGCUUUCACCACUGACUUAAUAAGCCGCCUACGCACCCUUUAAACCCAAUAAAUCCGGAUAACGCUUGGGACCUUCGUAUUACCGCGGCGGCUGGCAC
rnacentral:rRNA from 2 species